rnacentral:sRNA from 1 species
CGCUUCCUAGGCAAGCGCUCUACCACUGAGCUACUUUGUUUUAUUUUUGAGACAGGAUCUCUCUAUGCAGCCCUGGGUAUCCUAGACCUGUGUAGAUCAGAUAUGGCUUAAACAGAGACCCACUUGCCUCUGCCUUCCAGGUGCUGGGAAUAAAUCACUUUCAAAGUUUAGGGCAGUGGCUUAAAAAAUAUUCUGAAUGUUGUGUGACUACCUGAUGGCCAUGCAGUCCACUCUUUCGUCUUACAAGGCAAACUUUGGACCCAUUAGGCACUCCCCAAGCCCAUCAUUUCUGUCCUUCCUAUACAGUUGUGUUUUGCUUUUGCCUUGCAGUGCUGGAGGCUGAACCCAGAGGCUUGCAUGUUCUCUACACAAGUACUCUACCGCUGGGCUGCACCCCAGUCCUGCUCUUGCAGUUCGAAUCAAUGAGGAGAAUAAAAAGAAUUGCAGAGGAAAAUAUCCACAAAGGGCUAAGGACGAUGUGCAGUGUAGUGCAGUACUCAGACUGCUUGUCUUUUUUUUUUUUUUUUUUUUUUCUUUUUUUCGGAGCUGGGGACCCGAACCCAGGGCCUUGCGGUUGCUAGGCAAUUGCUCUACCACUGAGCUAAAUCCCCAACCCCUUAGACUGCUUGUCUAACAUAUACAAUGCCCCGAAUUCAGUCCCGAGCACUGAAGAGACUGGCACAGUGGUCAUCUGACGUCUUAGAACUCAGGGAAAGACAGGAGGCUCCUCAGAUACAGGCAUCACAGAAAUUGGGGAGGCCCUCAGAAUUCAAGUGUGGUGACCCUUAAAGGAUCGUCCAGUGUCUCCAAAUCAGGUUGAGUCUCUGAGCAGGGUUGAAAGAUUGUUAACAUCUACGAUUACAUCAGAACCCGUAGCUACUGGAGGCUCAGUGGGCAGAGAAUCCAGGAAGGCGAAGACAUUAAUGUUAGUCAUUCUGUCCAAAAAAGACAAGCCUUACCUCUGCAUCACAGGCUAUCUCACAUCUAGAAAAGAGGCUACCCGUGGAUGGCCCUUUUCUGAUUUCUAGGAACCAAGGGGACAUGGUGGUGACACAGAAAACCUUGCAGUGUGGCUCAGCACUCAAGGGACUGCCUUCUGGGACAAGAAGUCCUGUGUCAGCAGCUACCCUCCUGUGGGGAGCCCUCCAACACUCUCCCAGCCCAGGGCAGGACUCAGAGACCUGGAUGGUGGAUUAUCUGUCUCUCAUGGAUACCUAUAGACUUGGUAGGCAGCCUUACUUCAUCUUCGAUCUGUUGUUUUCCACCCUGUGUUAUUUUGACCCUUGCCCAGGUUUUUCUGUGGCAGGACAGGAAGGAACUAGAACUUCAAAGGGUAGUGGCUUCCUCAAAUCACUCCUAGCACAGGCCGGCCAGGAUCUGGAGGACCCACUCCCUUCUCUCCAGGAGACCAUACAGAUCUAAAGGGCCAUGCUGCCCCGUGGUCCUUGGACAUAGUGCUCCUUGCACAGAUCCGCACGUGAGCAUAAGGCAGAGGCUGUGGUCACUGCCUGAGGAAGCCAAGAAAGGGAGCCGGGAGGCAGCUCUACCAUUGUCUAGCCUCAGGAAGCCAGAGGAGGGUGGGGCCCCAGGCAAGGGUGCUGACCAGGCACAAGGGCAGGGUACAAAGGGGAAGAAGGUCAUUGGAACUAGAGUUCUGCAGAGUUCAACCUUAAUAAUAAUACUGACCUCACUUGCUUUA